rnacentral:rRNA from 1 species
GACGGAGGGUGCUAGCGUUGUUCGGAAUCACUGGGCGUAAAGGGUGCGUAGGCGGGUCUUUAAGUCAGGGGUGAAAUCCUGGAGCUCAACUCCAGAACUGCCUUUGAUACUGAGGAUCUUGAGUUCGGGAGAGGUGAGUGGAACUGCGAGUGUAGAGGUGAAAUUCGUAGAUAUUCGCAAGAACACCAGUGGCGAAGGCGGCUCACUGGCCCGAUACUGACGCUGAGGCACGAAAGCGUGGGGAGCAAACAGG